AUCUUCCGGUAGUCCUGUCGCAGAUGACUUUCGCCCUUCUCAUUCAGCCCAUUUCUCUAAAUCUAAUUAAUUUGAAUUCAAUGUGGUAGGACGAGAGUCAUCUGUGACAGGAUAAUGGAAGAU
rfam:Solanum tuberosum cultivar DM 1-3 516 R44 scf00597_9, whole genome shotgun sequence.